rnacentral:snRNA from 1 species
GUGCUUACUUCAGCAGCACAUAUACUAAAACUGGUACGAUACUGAGAAGAUUAGCAAGGCCCCUGCUUAAGGAUGACAUGCAAAUUUGUGAAGCAUUUCAUAUUUUU